UACGUAGGCAGCGAGCGUUUGUUCGGAGUUACUGGGCGUAAAGGGUGUGUAGGCGGUUGCUUAAGUUUGGUGUGAAAUCUCCCGGCUCAACCGGGAGGGUGCGCCGAAUACUGAGUGACUAGAGUGCGGGAGAGGAAAGCGGAAUUCCUGGUGUAGCGGUGAAAUGCGUAGAUAUCAGGAGGAACACCUGUGGUGUAGACAGCUUUCUGGACCAUUGCUGACGCUGAGACACGAAAAGCGUGGGUAGCAAACAGG
rnacentral:rRNA from 1 species